rnacentral:rRNA from 1 species
AACGAACGCUGGCGGCAGGCUUAACACAUGCAAGUCGAGCGCCCCGCAAGGGGAGCGGCAGACGGGUGAGUAACGCGUGGGGAUCUGCCUAGUGGUACGGAACAACACGGGGAAACUCGUGCUAAUACCGUAUAAGUCCUUCGGGAGAAAGAUUUAUCGCCAUUAGAUGAACCCGCGUCUGAUUAGCUAGUUGGUGAGGUAACGGCUCACCAAGGCGACGAUCAGUAGCUGGUCUGAGAGGAUGAUCAGCCACACUGGGACUGAGACACGGCCCAGACUCCUACGGGAGGCAGCAGUGGGGAAUAUUGGACAAUGGGCGCAAGUCUGAUCCAGCCAUGCCGCGUGAGUGAUGAAGGCCUUAGGGUUGUAAAGCUCUUUCGCUAGGGAAGAUAAUGACGGUACCUAGAGAAGAAGCCCCGGCUAACUUCGUGCCAGCCGCCGCCGUAA